GAAACCUGCACAGUCUGGCAUAUUUGAGUCAAGAGCGACGCUGACGAGCGCAGAAGCAGAAAAGACAGCAACAGGUGCAUGCUGGGCGACACGAGAAGAGGACCAGAGCAGGCUGGCCCCAACCACGUGAUGAGUGCAGAGGCAGCUGAAAGCUAGUUGAGUUCACUGCGGUUCAGAGGAUAACCAGGCGACCCUGUGUGAACUGCUGUGAAUUAGAGCUGCCUGUCUCCAGCUCCUCGUCGUGGCUUCAGGGCCGCAAGUGCACAACACUCCUAAAAGUCAUCUGAUGUAAUGACAGUGACCAGACUGCCUCCCACCACCAUCCAGAAUAUUCCCACUUCAGACACUGAUCUAUCACCUGUUGGUAUUUUCUUUUCCUUACCUGGUUCAUUUACACUUUCUUGAUCUUGGUGAACAUGAGGCCCAUUCAGAGUUUUACUAAAAUCAUGCCUGAAGUUCAGCUAAAAAUGCAUUAAAAUACAGAUAUAGUAUCUGUAGAUAAGAAACAAUAUUCAGGAAUCAAAUGUACACUGGUUUCUGUUUAAAUGAUGGGCAGCACUGAUCAAUCCUAGAUUAGAUGGUACAGCACAUAUGCUGGUAAACAGUUUGUGUGGAUAGCAAACAAGGAAAGAACUGGAUGAAAUAUCUUUAGGACCUAAAACACCUUCAAAAUGUCAGUACUUACAGAACAUACUGUCCUGUUCUAGCUUUAGUAGCCUUUAUAAUGACCAUUUAUGUUGAAAAUGCUUUCUGGCCUGCUUGGGAUUUUUCUGUUCCUGUACCACAGUUGACCACUGGUACAAAUUAGCAGGACUGGUGAUUCUGACGUUGUUCUAGCUACGGCAGCUUUAGCAGCUAGCCACCCAAACUCAAACCUUAAUACAAACACAAAGACAAUGUCAUAGCACAAGAGACAGUAGUAACAAUAGAUGUAACAGAAAUGUUGUCCAAAUUUUCAUUAUCGAUUAAUUAUUCACUUAAUCAUCUAGUCUAUAAUAUGUCAUAAAAUUGUGAAAAAAGUCUAUCACAGUUUCUUCAGAUUGCUGGCUUUGUUAGACAAACUGUCAAUAAAACCAAAGGUAUUCAGUUUACAAUUAUAUAACACAGAAAAGCAGCAAAUCCUUAUAUUUGAGAAGCUGGAACCAGCUAAUGUUUGGCAUUGUUGCUUGAUAAAUGUA